UGGCGGACGGGUGAGUAACGCGUGGAUAACCUGCCUCAUACAGGGGGAUAACAGUUGGAAACGGCUGUUAAUACCGCAUAAGCGCACGAAACCGCAUGGUUUUGUGUGAAAAACUCCGGUGGUAUGAGAUGGGUCCGCGUCUGAUUAGCUAGUUGGCAGGGUAACGGCCUACCAAGGCGACGAUCAGUAGCCGGCCUGAGAGGGUGUACGGCCACAUUGGGACUGAGACACGGCCCAAACUCCUACGGAAGGCAGCAG
rnacentral:rRNA from 1 species